GGGCUUAGGGGUCAGGGUGCGGGUCUGGGAAGGUGAGGAGCGAGACCCCAAGGGUAAGAUGGAGUGACAUGCAGGUGCGCCAGGUUGCACAGGUAAAUGUGGCAGGCAGGCGGGGACAGGCUGCUUUCCGCAGGUGCGCCCGGCACGGGCAGCCCAGGUCAUGCCCCUGUCUUGCAGCACCACACACUGGAAGCAAGUGCUGUUCAUGAUGGAUGAGCCGGUGGCAGUCCACGCAGGGGAUGUGGUCACAGGCGCAGUCGUGCUGCAGAGAAACCCCGUCUGGAGGAGGCACAUGUCCGUGGCCCUGAGCUGGUCCGUCACAUCCACACAAGACCCCACCUCUCAGAAAGUUGGAGAAAAGGUCUUUCCAAUCUGGAGAUGACAGUGACAUUCUGCUGGGGAAGCACAGUGUGCGGAGUGAGCUUUGCACCGCCUGCAGGUGGCAACCCCUGUGUGUGGGCUGGGAGCCCGACAGGCCCCCCACAGAGCAUGGCGGAGCUCAGUGGAGCUCACGCUGUCGCUUCCUGUAUCUGUCCUCUAGAAGUAGGCUGUGUUUUCAGGUGUCCCCCAGUGCUGUCCACAGUGUCCACCUGUGGAAGGAGGUGCCACAGUGCCCCUAAGCGAGAUCUGGGCUGCACUGGCUGGACGCAUACACCCACCUCGUGCUCCUGUGAAAAUCUGUUGCAUCAUGUGUCAGUGGCGUCCCGCUGCCCCCGCUCACCCACUCGCUGUGCAGAAUGUGGGGUUACACAGAGCCACGCAGGACCUGCAGGUGGCCAUGCAUGCGACAGGACCCUGCAUGGGGUAGUACAGCUGUAGAGCGGUCUUCCAAAUAAGUUACAUGGUGGCACAUAGUACAUGCUCAAUAAAUAUUUUUUAAUAAGUGAA